rnacentral:rRNA from 1 species
UACGAAGGGGGCUAGCGUUGCUCGGAAUCACUGGGCGUAAAGCGCACGUAGGCGGCUUUUUAAGUCAGAGGUGAAAUCCUGGAGCUCAACUCCAGAACUGCCUUUGAUACUGGAGAGCUUGAGUCCGGGAGAGGUGAGUGGAACUGCGAGUGUAGAGGUGAAAUUCGUAGAUAUUCGCAAGAACACCAGUGGCGAAGGCGGCUCACUGGCCCGGUACUGACGCUGAGGAGCGAAAGCGUGGGAGCGAACAGG